rnacentral:rRNA from 1 species
GUGGGGAAUAUUGGACAAUGGGGGGAACCCUGAUCCAGCCAUGCCGCGUGUGUGAAGAAGGCCUUUUGGUUGUAAAGCACUUUAAGCGAGGAGGAGGCUACCGAGAUUAAUACUCUUGGAUAGUGGACGUUACUCGCAGAAUAAGCACCGGCUAACUCUGUGCCAGCAGCCGCGGUAAUACAGAGGGUGCAAGCGUUAAUCGGAUUUACUGGGCGUAAAGCGCGCGUAGGUGGCCAAUUAAGUCAAAUGUGAAAUCCCCGAGCUUAACUUGGGAAUUACAUUCGAUACUGGUUGGCUAGAGUAUGGGAGAGGAUGGUAGAAUUCCAGGUGUAGCGGUGAAAUGCGUAGAGAUCUGGAGGAAUACCGAUGGCGAAGGCAGCCAUCUGGCCUAAUACUGACACUGAGGUGCGAAAGCAUGGGGAGCAAACAGGAUUAGAUACCCUAGUAGUCC